UGCAUGUCCUUAUAAAGCUUUUUAAUGGGUUGAGGUAAGUGCGGGAUGGAUGAAAUUGCUCAGUACCGUCUAAUCUGGCAAUCUGGAUUAUGAUCGGUUCAACUAUUUUGUGGUUCCAGUUCUACUAAUUGAAGCCGGUGAGUUGGUGUAUGCUUGAAGUGAGUCUGGUUCUCGCUUCAAUUCCCCCCUGUUUCACCUCCAGAUCUACUCAUCGGGAGAUGGAUUCCUUGCAGUGAGAGGCUGGUAGGGGUUCUCGUUUAGCACAUGAUUUUUUUCUCACUUUUGAUUUGUAUAAGCCUUUUGGACUUAGGUGAUCAUUGGUACACGAUGCAGGUCUGACGCUGUUAUUGAUAAUCAUCCAUACCUAUUCUGGACAUGGACGAAGUACACACAUGUACACGCAGCUUUUUUUGAUCCGUUGCAUAUCAAAGUAUGAGUACAUAUAUCACAGUCCUCUGUAAAUACCUAACGUUCUUUGCUUUGUGUGAAAUUGACCUUUGGUAAUUUGUGUUCACUUUUUACUUGUAUGUGUGCGAAUUUAUAACCUGGAUAUUUUUCCUACUAGGCUUCAUUCAGACGAUGGACUGUCUUGCUCUACUUCGAAAUCGAAACAGGUGAGUCGUGUCCUUUUUAGGAUUUAACCAACUGAACUGAAACCAAGAUACAGUUGUUUAUGUGUGCUGAAGAUUGUUCAUACCCGUACCCUGAAGAAAGAAGGCAAAAUAAUCCAUAACUAUUUCUUGAUAAUAAAGUACAUAGACAUAGAUAUAUAGCUCAUUGGCUCCAUCACAUUAGUUUGCUAAAUAAGUUAUAUGGAUCCUUGCAGACACAAGAUAGAUUCUAGAUAUACCUGGAAUAUGUUCAUCCGGGUUCAGUUAAUAAGUGCAUUAGUCAACAUUGUGGUGCAAUGACAGAAUCUGUUGUCCACAACUUCACCUGCCAUAUCCUUAAGGGUCUUGAUUUCCUACAGAGCCAAAAAAUUAUGCAUAGAUCUGGAAAUAGGUUUAAAGGAAAGAUUUAGAAGUAACUGUGGUGAUCCAGGACACGCUUUCAAGAUUACAAGUUCAGUAGUGGCAACUUGAACUUAUGUAAGAAUAAACAGAAUGAUUUUUCAUUCUGAAGAGUUUCCUAACUAUUGACUUUAAGCCUUCAUAGUUACAUCGUGGGAUUAUGAAUAAGAUGGUGCUAAUUAUAUUUUGAGUGAAUUUCUGGUGUGUAUUAUUCAGACUGGCCCUUGAACUAAAUAAAGAAAAGUCAAAGAUA